AACAACGGAAUCGUUUUAUGCUUGUCUGAAUCUCACGAUCGAUUUCUACCUCCAGGCUGGGCAUAGUGGAUCUCUUCAGGCUGCUAUCUCCAUGCAGGUAAUCCGUUUGAUGAAAUGCUUCUGAACACUAAGCAUCCGCUGGAUGUGCACUACUGCGUGUGUGUGAGGAAAGCAGGAGCUACUGCUUUGGGCUUCAAAAAUUUUAAUUUUAUACCAUGAAUGUCUAGCACACCUCACGAAUUUGAUGCAUGAACCUUACGCUGGCAAGUUAUAGUUCAGAGUGAGGCUUUUUAGUUUGAUUUUUAUGCAUACUCUAUUUUGAUUCUAUGCCAUUUUGUUUAGCGUAAAAAAUCACCAUGAUUCAGACUCUUGCAGUGUUGUAUAGCAUGGAGCCAUGGACUAUGCUAAUCAUGUGAAGAUAGCUGUUCUAGAGUUGGCAUACAACUAUGGAGACACAAAAUGUAACAAAGGAAACACAUAUGCUCAUGUCAAAUUUAAAUAAAGAACAAUCAAUCUGAUCUUGGCCUUGAUUUUGCAUGCUUUGGGAAUAUGAAUUCAAGAAUCAUUCUAACUGUUCUGCACCUUCUCCUCCUGCGCCAAACACUGUCAGAGAUGCCUCCUCGUCCUCAUCCAAAGCAGUAACACUGCUCGCCAAAUUAUUGAGGAUUUGGCUUGUGUUCACGCGAAUUUCCUGUUGCUUCUAUAUUAUUUUAGCAUCUGCUGGGGCGACAAGCCAGCACAGAGCGCAUUUGGUGGCCGCCAUGGCUCCUUUGGACGUGGCUUUGGAAGCCACCGGAGCAAAAGAAGCCUUCUUGAUGACAGCCCCUACGACAACAAGAAUUCCAGAAUAACAAGAAUUCCAGAUGUCCGAUUGUGCAGCAUGACCAACGAAUUUGCAUUUUUUUUGUUUUUAUAUUGACAGUUGUUCUUCUCAGAACCUUCAUUCCAUGAUCAUAUAGCACCUCACGGAAUUCAUCGAAGGUGUCAAGUUUUUGUUAUGACUUUAGAUCCUAAAUAUCCGUGAGCACUUGUAUGUACUGUUUGCUGUAUUAAAAAGCAAUGUUGCCAGGGAUUCCUGCACUCUUGGUUUA